UACGUAGGGGGCUAGCGUUGUCCGGAAUCAUUGGGCGUAAAGGGUGCGUAGGCGGGUCUUUUAAGUCAGGGGUGAAAUCCUGGAGCUCAACUCCAGAACUGCCUUCGAUACUGGAAAGCUCGAGUCCGGGAGAGGUGAGUGGAACUGCGAGUGUAGAGGUGAAAUUCGUAGAUAUUCGCAAGAACACCAGUGGCGAAGGCGGCUCACUGGCCCGGUACUGACGCUGAGGCACGAAAGCGUGGGGAGCAAACAGG
rnacentral:rRNA from 1 species